UGUGUGUCGCGUCGGCGGGUCGACGGCGGCUGGUCGCCCCGUUGUCUCGAGGUUUUUAUUGUCAGCGCGACGACGCCUUGGUUACGCAGCGUCGAUGGCCGACAGCGUCCGCGGGCGCUAGGCCCUGGACGGCCCCGGACUGUAUCACAGCGCCUCCGUCAUGGGAGUUUCACAAAAAUCAUCUCCGCAGAACCUUCCCCCACUUUUCAUUUUCUUUUUCCCUCCGCGAUGUACCCGUGCGUCGUUUCUUGCUGUGAAGGCCUGCCGCUCGAGCUCCGAGUCAGACGGCAUCGAUCGUGCCUCUUCAGUGGGGGAAGAAAAAAGAAACGUGACUGUGUAUAUAUAAUGUGCGGCGGCGGAAGGACACAGCGCAGACUUGAAGAAUGCAGCGUCGCCGACAGACAGCGCUGUCCCAUGCGCGCUGGAAAACUGUACCCCACCAAGUCACCCGUUCGCAAGCCCAGCGUAGCCCGUCCUUGAACGACUGGCAACAUGGAGUCCGGCUCCUCGCAUGAUACAACAUGAAGAAACAGCGCGGAUGAAGGCGAAGCUGAAACAAAAUGGUUGCGGCCACGGUACGUGACGUCACUCAAGGUUGUCCGGGUGAAGAGGCGUACGACGCAGCACCGGCCACCUCGGACAAGACUUAACUAAGCUUUACACCCGAAGGUUCACCGUCCGGAGUGAGGCCGCGCCUUGGUCCUGAAGACCGGCGUCCUUGUACCGUGGGCCUGGUGAGUCCCGGAAACGGAGGGAAAAAAAGCAAGGUGCCUUCUGCGUCCGAGCAGUGCCGGAGGUUCGGAAGGGAGUCCAUCGCUGUCAUCUUGCGUCCGUCGCCAGAUCGUCAAGUUUGCCCGGACAAGGGAAACCAAUAUGGCCACGCUGCGAGGAGAGAAGCCCGCCACCGUGCACGCGAGUCUCAUUCUUGCAUGGAGCGAGCUCGAGAUGGAAUGAAGAGUCGAGUGCAAACCGUUGGACGUCCGCUCAUCGCCUACUGGACAAAGGGAAAGGACGCCGCACACACAAAACAUGCCGUAGUUCAUCAAACCAUGCAACAAAAUUUACAGCCUUCUGUCCGGUUCGUUCGGGCGAGCUUAGGGAGUUAGCGACUGGUUGAAGUCGAGACAUUGCCCAGUGGCGACGGUACAACCACCCGCGGCGAAAGAAACUGCGAAUUAAGUGUGCUAAAUAUGUCAGCAUUGCAUGCGGGGCUGGUGUGCUUUUAGGUUGAGAUGAAGGGCAUAAGGAAAAUGGACAAAUGGGGAAGGAAGGAAUACAUCAAGUAGGUACUAACAUCAACGAAGUACUAGCAAAAGCGAAAAGCUAAUCGAGAGUUUAAAUUUUUGUAUCAUUUCUCCUCUUCGGUUUGGCACUAAAGUUUGUAUGCAGCAUGACGGCCGCGGGCAGUUAUAGUACUUAUACAGGAUAAUAAAAAAGAGCUAAAAAGCUCUGCAACCCUACGGCGACAUCUGUUUGUGUGCGGCCCAGCCACCAGUUAAUUGUACUUCAUCAGGUGCUCUGGAGUGCAUAGAGAACAACCAGGCAUCUUUUGGAGUGCAAAUGAUAAGUGGCGAGAGUACUACGAGGCUUCACUGAAGACAUCGUCGCCGCUUCAGCUGCGAUGUGGUCCGUCCGUCAGCGUUGACUAACGCCGAAUCACCAAUGCAAGUGCACGAUUUCAGUGAGUAAGAGACGCCGUCCUUUUCCUCUUCCUCCAGCAUGUUUUACCAGUCUUUCACUGGACGUACGUGUAGCAUGACACAGACGACGUCGUAACUUUUUGUUUCUCUUUAUCUGUCAACUCGGCCCAGACCUAGGCGCAAUAAAGUUUUCUCUCUCUCUCUCUCUCUCUCU